GGGGAUGUUUAGGUUUCGACAGGAGUUAAUGGCAAGUGAUUGCAGUGGUCUGGUAGACCAUAAGACUACGAGGUAGAAAUAACCGGAAACAAAAACAAAUCUGUAGUACCUGCAGACAUUAAAGAAAAGUUAAGUUCAUUUAGCUUUGGUUUAAACAAAUCAGCUAACUUAGCUACUUUAACUGCUUAAAAUCAAUUUAAAUUGAGAACUACCGUUAAUUAAAUAACUGUUUAUUGUUAUUAAUUAACGUAUUACAAAUAAACUAGAAAAAGCGAUGUUAAUAAGCUUUUUUGAAACUCUAAUUAACUAGUUAAUAUUAAAUUUGUGGAAUUAAUUAAUAUUAGCGAAAAAAGUAAUUCUACUAAACUGUAGAUAUUAUUUGUUGGUUACCUUUUGGACACGGGUUCAAUUCCCGUCAUCUCCACCA
rnacentral:tmRNA from 1 species